UCACGUGUUUGUUUUUCUACUGUCCAGACCCUGAAUCUACUGACUGCCACAACCAUCAGCAUGGCAGGAUCAUCCAGUACUCCAUCAGAUCAAGGGUCCAAAGGAACCUCCUAGAAAAGCAGCACUUGUCUUUCCCAGCUGGCCAACACUCAACACCAGGUGGAGGAUCUAUCUCAGAGAGACGUUUCUAACAUCUGAGGCUACUGCCUAUGCCCUGGCCAAACAGCUACAAAAAUACCGGAAUACAAAAUCCUCAUACAAGAUCAGGACCUACAGUUGAGUCAGCUGAGGCAGAACUCACAAGAGGGGAGACACGCUGCCCACCACCUCCAACAGCAUCUCACCAACCUCCUCACCCAUCAUGGCUGCAACAACUGCCAGGACCAGAGCCUUCAACACCAACUGGCCGAGAUGUGCAGGAUGUCAGAGUGCCUUGUACCAGCAGCUGAGCCCAGGUAACAUGACCACAGGCCCUGUGUACACUGAACUGUGCCCAGAUGCCAAGAUCAUAGAACACCUCACUCCAAAGGGGACUUGUCAUCUGUUGCUGCAGUUUCCAGUCACAUGAGGGCAAUAUAGGGUGGGAAGAGAGGAGAGAAUGCACAAGAAGGAGGUCACUGUGUGCAACUUCCUCUAUCCCCCAGGAGGAGCAGGGCCAGCUGUGGGAGCAGCCAGCACCCAUCCAGUGUGAAUAUACAACAGGAGGGCCGGAAGAUGGUUGUUGGAGUGAAAACAUCCCUGGGCUAAACACCAAGCUCCCAGCUUCCAGCACAAGUGCCAAUUUCAAAUCCGUGCAGGAGUGAGCAUGUCAUCAUUGUGAGUGAGAGGUUCCUAAGAUUCCUGGACUAAAACAUCAAACACUUUGUGGAUUUGUCACAUCUGCAACCUCUACAUUGUUACUUUGUUGUGACCA